GACGAACGCUGGCGGCGUGCCUAAUACAUGCAAGUUGAGCGCUGAAGGUUGGUACUUGUACCAACUUGAUGAGCAGCGAACGGGUGAGUAACGCGUGGGGAAUCUGCCUUUGAGCGGGGGACAACAUUUGGAAACGAAUGCUAAUACCGCAUAAUAACUUUAAACAUAAGUUUUAAGUUUGAAAGAUGCAAUUGCAUCACUCAAAGAUGAUCCCGCGCUGUAUUAGCUAGUUGGUGAGGUAAAGGCUCACCAAGGCGAUGAUACAUAGCCGACCUGAGAGGGUGAUCGGCCACAUUGGGACUGAGACACGGCCCAAACUCCUACGGGAGGCAGCAGUAGGGAAUCUUCGGCAAUGGACGAAAGUCUGACCGAGCAACGCCGCGUGAGUGAAGAAGGUUUUCGGAUCGUAAAACUCUGUUGGUAGAGAAGAACGUUGGUGAGAGUGGAAAGCUCAUCAAGUGACGGUAACUACCCAGAAAGGGACGGCUAACUACGUG
rnacentral:rRNA from 1 species